rnacentral:misc_RNA from 1 species
GUGUCAUGAAUAAUCUCUAAUCAGGGUUUCUGAUUAGGGGGAUUUGGGGUGUUGCCUUCUGGCUCGCCUUAAAUGCAUUAGCGUGGUGUAUAAGUUUCGCCAGCAGCUAUCCAUUUCGUUUACUUGUAAAUGAAAACGGGAAAGGGCAACCGAGUACCAUCUCAGACCUCAAAUCAGGUAGGACUACCCGCUGAACUUAA